UUACUUUGUCCCACAUUGGAUGUUUAGAAAACCUACCUCCCUUCCCUUCUCCUAUAUAAGAAACUCCAUCCUUUCUCUUUAUUCUCAUCAAGUCAAAGUAUUUCUUUGCGUGUGACGAGUUGUUGUUGAAUUAUUCGACGACCAGUCACUAGUGAAUUUUCCGGUGGGAUUUCCGGGUGAGCUUCCGGCGAGAUUUCUGGACGAGCUUCCGGUGAGAUUUCUAGACGAGCUUCCGGCGGGUUUUCUAUUGACCUCAGCUGACCGCAUCUUCCGUUGUUCAUUUCAGCCUGUGGCUAAGGUGAGACCGACGAGCAUGAGUGAUUACUAUCGGAUUGGUGCUUUGGGAGUUUUAUUUCUUUCUUUUUCAAACUUGCGGAUUUUAUGCUUUUAUCGAUAUUCUCGAGAUUUAUUAUGUUAUUUGGAUUUAUGGCUAUUUAUUGGAUUUACGACUUUGGAGUUGACUUUUGAGAAGUAAUAAAUGGAGAUUUUAGAAUUUUAUUUGUUUAUUUUAUUUUGGAAAAUACGGG